rnacentral:lncRNA from 1 species
ACGUCUGGUUCGGUGUCUGGCUCCCGUUGUUGUGUCUGGCCAAUUCCUUGGAAAGAAGGAGGCUCACAGCGCCGGGGACAGGGACUUUGGUGAGACAAGAGCAAGCUUAUGUGAUGCCAGCAGAUUCAGUCUGAAGAUCAUGGAUCGGGAAGGAGACUGUCCCCAAUUCUGCCAUGUGAGUGUUGCUGGUGCUGAGGCUAAACCUGCUGGUAGCUGCCUUCUUGGAGAGGUAACCCCAGGUGACCAAGUGUUGAUGGGAGAAGAAGACACUUCUGGAGAUGUGAGGCAGUUUUACAGAGAACCAGCCACCACUCUGCUCCAGGGGUGGAAGGUCUCUAAGAACUCAACUGGGAGAUUUGAAUUUCGAGUGGUCACCCCACGCCUGCACUACUCCACACCUGCGCUACCUCACACCUAAGCUGCCCCACAGCUGGGUCACUCCACACCCAAGCCACUCUCCACCUGUGCAAGUCACCCCACACCUGCACUACUUCCCACCUGAGCUGCCCCACACCUGAGCCCACACCUGGAUUUGGGGGUUUUUCAAGUCAUAUAAAAUGGUUUAUCUGCCCUGCUAACACCUCUUAGGGAAGGAAUCACCUUAACAGCACAUGAGGGGACCUUACACAUUCCUUACCCACGAGUGGCAGUCAGGGGACUCCUGGCAGGAGUCAGUUCUCUCUUCCUAAGACAUAGGUUCUCUACUGCCACCGGUGAGAGUUCCAGGGACCUCAGGCUUAGCAGAAAAUGCCUUUGCCUGCGAACCAUCUUCAACAGGUUCUAAAAGACAAGUGUUGCUAAGGAAAACUUAUUCGUGAUCAAAUUAGCUGAAAUAAGAAAGUGAUAUACAUUGUUUUCUUUUAAAAAUAAACCGAAGCCUUUAUCCAUAAAAAAAAAAAAAAAAA